CCUAAUUUGAUCGCCUGGAGUGCUCGGAAACAUGCUACUGUGUCACGUAGCAGUACUGAAGCUGAGUACAAGGCUGUGGCUAAUGCUACUGCAGAGAUUAUUUGGGUGCAGUCUUUGCUUCAGGGGUUGGGUUUGUCUCAACCACAGCCUCCUAUUCUUUGGUGUGAUAACAUCGGUGCUACAUACCUUUCUGCAAAUCUAGUAUUUCAUGCCCGAACGAAACACAUUGAAGUUGACUAUCACUUUGUACGGGAACGUGUAUCACAGAAGCAACUCCAGAUUAAGUUUAUCUCAUCUAAGGAUCAACUUGCA
rnacentral:rRNA from 1 species